GCUUCGUGUGUUUUGGUUACGUGUAUUGAGUGAAGAAGAAGAAGAAGAUAGCCUAUGACCAAAACAAGUCGCUUUGUAAAUAUCGUCUGAACUCUCCGAAACAGCCUUGUCCUGGAUGUAAAUACGAACUUAUUACAGCAGAUGUUUUAAAGAUGUUACGGGAUUUGACCUCAAUAUUAGUUGGAGGGUCACGAGGACUCCCCCCUACACUCGCAUUUCUCUUCAAGUUAGCUUGGGCUUCACGUGUUCGUUUACCUUUACUAAUUGCAGUAGGAUUUAUGGUUACGAACAUUCAUUUACGUUUAGAAAUAAAUGUUAAUAUUGAAGUAGGAGAAGAUGAGCCACCUCCUGAACAACAACCUCAAAACCAGCAGCAGCAGCUGCAGAGUCAACAUGAUGCGUAGUCAUAAUGAGCUUUAAACAGAAACAAAAUACUCCAUGUGGAGAUGUUACAUCUUAUUUCAUGAACUGAUCUAAGUGACCUUCAAUUUGAUCUUACUCAGUGCCCAGUUAAGUGGAAUAUCUGUUUGAAAGCUCUACCUUCAUUAUAGGCUAAUUUUUUUUUAUUGUUAUUUAAGGUAAUAAUUUUAUUAGUGUUCCUAACCAUCUGUAACCCUUGUUAUGAGAAAAUGGUACUAUUUAUGAAUUUUGUUAGUAUUUUGCUCACAAUACAAACCUUUGCUUUGCAUCAGCCUUUAAGAGUUUGACCUGAGAUAGUAUUGUGUUGUUUCAUGAUUUCAAAUUGUUGCAAAACUACUUGCACUUUGGUAUAGUACAUAAAGAGUUUGUGAAGACUGGUGGCAUGUGACAAACUACAACUGUCAAUGGGUUACUGCAGUUUAAUUUAUUCCACAUCAUCAUCUUAUUCCAAUAUUCACAGUUCCUUACACAGUAUCAUGGUGACACUUAUUUCUUUUCAGUACUUCACUCUUUACUAAUAGUAUUUUGUUAGGCUCUGUAAGAUAGUAAAUUAUAAAUAUUCUGUUAGAUGAUGCAUAGCGGGGAUAAAGCAGGUCAUGUAGCUUCCUCCUACUCCACUAUUGGUUGAUACCUGUUGCCACCAAUUGUUUGUUAUUUUUAACCGGACUUUAGCUACCACCAGAGAAUUUAUCCCUACAUUAAGAUCAAAGAUUUGUUCGUUAUGAAAAAUACAAAUUGAUUUAAAAUUUUUCAUAUUGAUAGCUUUUUGUAUUUCAUUAAUUCCAGUUUCAUUUUCAGUUGUUUAUAGGUCCAAGUAGUUUGGUGCCACAAAGUUAAGCAUACUUUAAUGAGUGCAUGUUCUUAUUCUUCUUUUCCUGUCCUUUCAUAAAAUUCUUAUGUAACCAAUGCUACAGCAUUGUCUGUGCAUUGUAAGGAGGAUAUAGCAAAUUUGCACACUCAUCUACAGAUGUUUAUGCUAGUGACUCAUCGUUAUGGUUUUAGUCAUUUAUCAUAUUUUUUUUUUGUCCUAGCUCUUGAAGCUUGAUGUGCAGUCUUAUCCAAAUAUUCAGUGCAUAAUUAGUUGCCAUCCAAGAGCAUAAUAGCCCAGCUUAGUUAUUGGAGAUGUGAGUAACUGACUUAGUUAAGCCUUUGACUUUCAUUAUAACUUAUUAUUGAAAGAUUGGAGGACUCAUUUAGUCUGUUUUAUUUAGUGAGUGUAUCCAACAUGACAACACUGAUUUAUUAUCAUAAGAACAGCAAUAUGUCAGAUGUCACUUUUCAGGAUAAAAAAAAAAAAGAGGAAAGUUAUCAGUUAGUAACAACUUUAACAAGGAAGUAAUCUGGGGAAACCAAUGUGGGAUUUAUUAUUACUAUAUUAAGUACAAGUACACAUAUAUUUAGAGGAAAAUAGUUGUUACAGCCGUAGUUUUAAUGGUACACGUAUUACAUACCAGGCAAGUAAUUUUUCAAGCACCCAUGGAAUGUCCAGACCAGACAGAUUGUCAAAUCAAGUUAUUCUUUGUAAUGGUUUUUCUAGUAACUUUUUUGUAUGUUCCUGGAGGAACUUCUCUUCUGUAGUAGAUAUGGGCACCUUUCAGGUAAAAUUGUGAUGUGUUUGUUCAGGUUGGUAUUGUGAAACUUUGAAGGCUGAUUCCUUUAUCAGUUUCUUAAUUUUCUAUUUGAAACAACUUGAUAAGUAUAAUAUAUGUAAUUAUUUUUAAUAAUUCCAUUGUAUACUAUUGGUUUUACAUAAGCUCCUAACUGUUCAUUAACUUGGAAUGAUGUAAAUUUGUUGUGGAAAAUGUCCUUUGUUGUAUAGAUCUUUACAUAUUACCAUGUAAUUGCGGUUAUCUGCAAUGGCUUAAUCAGAAGCCUUCCAAUUUAUUAUUAAUUAAUGGCCAGAUCUUCCAGAGCCAUUGCAAUAACUUUUCUGUUUUUUUUUUCAUACCUUAAUCUAUUAUCCAGGAGUAUUCUCACUCCUAUGCUUCUCAUGACUUGUAAUAAAGUUGAAGUCUUGUGAAAGUGUGCCUGUCACUGUGAUUUUUUUUUACGUCUUUCUGUUUCUUAAGAUAUAUGCACACUUUUUGUGCUUCUUAAGGUGUACUGGCACUACCACUUUAACUGGCUUGAGUUUUGCAACCUUCCUACAAAUAGUAUGUGGAAUUUGUCAAGAUAGGGUCAAGGAGUUAUAUGGUCAAUCAUUUCGCUUUUGAAUAUGCAAGUUAUAUGUUCUCAUCCAUUUGUCUUUAACUUCUUCCGUUUAAGGAGAAAGUCUGUAUUUAUCUGAGAAAAUGUGUUUAUAUCUUUGGUUUAAUGUGUUUUUUCAUGGAGCUUUAUCUUCAUUUGAACUAUUUUUCCAAUUAACGUAUGUUUGUCUUCUUCUGCUGUAUGGUAUGCAUGUAAAAAAUGGCCUCUAGUGGCUCAUGAAUAGUAUUUAUGAAUAAGUUUGGAGUCUAGUCAUGACAUGCUUUGAUAUCUUUUGUCAGAAUUAAAGGCUUAUGUAAAACAGUGGUUUAUGUGCCAUGAAAUUUUUUUAUUAAACGAAUGUAGAUUGGUUAUUUGUCUUUAAAGUUUGCACUAUGCUUUAGUAUUCUAGGAACCAUUGAUUUAGAAGUGUCAUAAGCGAAUAUAGAUUUUCCAACUAACAAUUAUUAAUGUAUGACAACUAUAAUAGUAGCUAACCAUUUUUAUAUGGACAAUUGAUUGGUGAUAUUUUUUAAAUUUUGCUCAGCCAAUAAAUAUCUUAUACAGAAAUGCCCUUUCUGCUAUAGGCCAUUGCUACCAUCAUGUUGAAAGGUCCACAGUAGAAUUUAGGUGGUAAAAUAUUCUCAUUUUGUAUUAGAGCUAAUUCUCCUGAAAGUAGCAUUUCCCUAUUUGGAAAGGAAUAAAGUAUUUGAUCUUUUCUUCUCGUUUUGAAACUCAGGAAUAUAUUGUUUGUAAGGAACAAUAAGAUUGCCUUAAUUUAUUCUGCUAUUUGUUAAUUUUUAAGUUGAAAUUUAAUUAGCCUUUUGGUGUCCCAGUUAAUUUCCACUCUGUGACUCUGGGAACUGCAUUCGUAAUAGUCUGAAUUUGUAAACUACUAUUUUUAAAUUAUUUUUAAAUCUCUACAGUAACAUUUUCAUUUUCAAUUUUUAGGUAAAGUUAUUUAAUGUCUUAUUUUACUUAAGGUUUUUAAGAGUAGGUUUUGGAAUAAUCCCCAAACUAAUUGCUGUUAAUGACUACUUAUUAACUAUGACAAAUUUUUUACAUUUUAUCCUAGAGUGGAGGUUCAGUACAAGUGACUAAUGUAGAUCACUGAUCACGAAUGUAUUUUCUACACUUCUGACCUGGUUUUUUUUUUUUUUUAACCUCAAGGAGGUCUGUUUGUGUAAGUGUGGGAAUAGGAACUCCUGGCACUUAACCAUUCUGUGGAAAUGAUAAUUUAGUGUAAUUUGUUCCAGUUUUUAAUUAUUAUAACUUGUGGAAAUUAUUGUUAAGUUAGUUGUAAAAAUAUACAAAAUGAAAUUGC